UUCCAUGCUAUCUGACUUGAG
rnacentral:piRNA from 1 species